ensembl:lncRNA novel transcript
CAGCCUACUUCAUUUUCAAGCUAUAUUAUUUUAUUAAUGUAGUUUGAUGAUCUUACAGCAGAGCUGGAAGCUGUAUCUUCAAAAUAUGUCUGUUUGACUCAAAACAAUCAAGGUAUUCAACAGGAGUUAUUAUGUAUGAAAAAAUACAACAGGAAUGUAAAAAACUUGAGGCUAAAAAGAUGUUGGAAGAAGUAAUAUUAAAUCUUAAAAAACGUAUGGAAAGUACACAUUGGUGAAGACACAUUGGUGAAGUACAAAAAUAUAAAUUGGAUCUAGAAGAAAGGGCAAUGCAGGCAAUGGAAAAAUUAGUACAAAUCCCUUUACAGUAAUGAUUCUCAGUGUGGAGUCAUUUGAUUAUUAAGACCCAUUGACAUGAGAUUACAUCCUCUGCCUAUAAAAAUCCUGGAAGAAAACCUAGGAAAUAUUCAUCUGGACAUUGCACUUGGCAAUGAAUUUAUGGAUAGAAAAUGCAGUUGAAAGAUAUUUCAUAAAGGAAGAAAAGAAGUAUGAAUACAGCUUUAACCAUUUAUUUUGGUGGAGUCUUUAAGAUUUUCUCUAUCUUGAGUGCGCGAGGCGCGGGGAGCCUAGGACCUGGAGCGAGAGCCGCCUACCUCAGCCGCCGCCCACGGCACGGCAGCCACCAUGGCGCUCCUGCUGCGCUUCGUGCUCCUGUGCGGAGUCGCGGAUUUCACCAGAAGUUUGAGUAUCACUACUCCUGAGCAGAUGAUUGAAAAAGCCAAAGGGGAAACUACCUAUCUGCCAUGCAAAUUUACGCUUAGUCCUGAAGACCAGGGACCACUGGACAUCGAGUGGCUGAUAUCACCAGCUGAUAAUCAGAAGGUGGAUCAAGUGAUGAUUUUAUAUUCUGGAAACAAAAUUUAUGAUGAUUACUAUCCAGAACUGAAAGGCCGAGUACAUUUUAAGAGUAAUGAUCUCAAAUCUGGUGAUGCAUCAAUAAAUGUAACGAAUUUACAGCUGUCAGAUAUUGGCACAGAUCAGUGCAAAGUGAAAAAAAGCUCCUGGUGUUGCAAAUAAGAAGAUUCAGCUGGUAGUUCUUGUUAAGCCUUCAGGUACAAGAUGUUAUGUUGAUGGAUCAGAAGAAAUUGGAAGUGACUUUAAACUAAAAUGUGAACCAAAAGAAGGUUCACUUCCAUUACAGUAUGAGUGGCAAAAAUUGUCUGACUCACAGAAAAUGCCCACUUCAUGGUUAGCAGAAAUGACUUCAUCUGUUUAUAUCUGUAAAAAAAUGCUUCUUCUGAGUACUCUGGGACAUACAGCUGUACAUCAGAAACGGAGUGGGCUCUGAUCAGUGCCUGUUGCGUGUAAACGUUGUCCCUCCUUCAAAUAAAGCUGGACUAAUUGCAGGAGCCAUUAUAGGAACUUUGCUUGCUCUAGUGCUCAUUGGUCUUAUCAUCUUUUGCUGUCGUAAAAAGCGCAGAGAAGAAAAAUACGAAAAGUAAGUUCAUCACGAUAUCAGGGAAGAUGUGCCGCCUCCAAAGAGCCGUACGUCCGCUGCCAGAAGCUGCAUAGGCAGUAAUCAUUCAUCCCUGGAAUCCAUGUCUCCUUCCAACAUGGAGGGAUAUUCCAAGACUCAGUAUAAACAAGUACCGAGUGAAGACUUUGAACGCACUCCUCAGAGUCCAACUCUCCCACCUGCUAAGGUAGCUGCCCCUAAUCUAAGUCGAAUGGGCGUGAUUCCUGUGAUGAUUCCCGCACAGAGCAAGGAUGGGUCUAUAGUAUAGAGCCUCCAUACGUCUCAUCUGUGCUUUCCGUGUUCCUUUCCUUUUUUGAUAUAUGAAAACCUAUUCUGGUCUAAAUUUUGUUACUAGCCUCAAAAUGUAUCCAAAAAUAAGUUAAUCAGGAGCUGUAAGGAAUAUAUUUUUUAAAAUUUUUCUUUGGUUAUAUCGAAAUAGUUACAGGCAUUAAAGUUAGUAAAGACAAGUUUACCAUCUGAA